rnacentral:misc_RNA from 1 species
ACAAAACUGCUUUAUAUAAUAGUAUGUGUUUGCAGUUUUAUCUUUAAUUGUGAAAAUAUUUUUUCUCAGAGAGGUAUAGCUUUCUUAAAUAUGUAUAUCGUACUAUGAAGACAAUUUAUGCAUGGCCAAGUGGUAGCGUAGAUGUGUUUUUGAUUUGAGGUCACUGGUUCAAUUCCCCCAAAUAAGGAAGGUUUUGAAAAUUGUAUGGUAUUUUGACAGAUAUAUCAAUUUCAUGAAAUAUAAAGGAACGGAUUGAGGAUCUGAUUUCAAUCAGACUGAUAAAAAAAAUAUACCUCCUGUUUCAAGUUCCUAUUAAAAAAGGUGCUAUACCACUUUGUUUACUCUUUGUGGAAUUUAUAUGCGUUUUUUCCUCUGAAAUAUUAAUAUAUUUAUUUCUGUUACUAAGUUUCAAUGUAUGCAAUUGUGAGUCAACUUAUUUUUAGGUUUGUAAGUUUGUCAAAAGUGAAUGUUCUUUUAGGUGAAUCUCAGUCUAUGUAUUGUUUUAAUCUCUUUAGGCUUUAAAUAACAAUUGUUCUUAAACUUCUGAAAUAAAAAAUAACCAAGCCAAGUGC